rnacentral:lncRNA from 1 species
AGGCAACUAAAAUUCUCCCCAGAGUUAGCAGAAAGAUUAUUGAUUGAACAGAUCUCAAGCUACAAGGAAAAAAUUAUUAUUUAGUUUAAAGGCUCAUAAUUUUAUUCCUAUUCACCUACUGAAAAAGCAAGAGACUGUGCAUUUUUACAGCAACCUUUUGAGUUAUGCUGGGGUAGGGAACUGGUUACGUUGGUGAGCUGAAAGUAGUAACUUUUUGACGCUGUGAAAUUAGAUUUGCAGAAGAUAGUUAAUGAGAGACCAUUAUUGCUGCUGUCAGAAGGCAAUGUGAUGCCUAACCACUGCAUACAUGUACAACAGGGUGUUCGUUACCCAGGAUAAAACUUGUCUGUAUGUUCACAACACCAAGGAUUUGAAUCAAAUCCACAAAUGGAAAACAUCAACAAAAGAAGUCUGCUCUCAGGGGAGAACAGGUUCACAGGACACCCAGCCUCUACGUGUCAUGUGGCGUGGCAUGGCCAUAGGCAGCCAUGGGCUUAUGGCCCAGAAAGAGAAUCCAGAUAAGAGCAUGAGAACAAAAUCAACCAACCAACCAAACACAAAAAAAAAAAAAAAAAAACAAAAAAACCCCCCAAAAAAAAAAACCAAAAAAAAAAAAAAAAAAAAAAAACCCCCCAAAAAAAAAAACCAAAAAAAAAAAAAAAAAAAAAAAACCCCCCAAAAAAAAAAACCAAAAAAAAAAAAAAAAAAAAAAAACCCCCCAAAAAAAAAAACCAAAAAAAAAAAAAAAAAAAAAAAACCCCCCAAAAAAAAAAACCAAAAAAAAAAAAAAAAAAAAAAAACCCCCCAAAAAAAAAAACCAAAAAAAAAAAAAAAAAAAAAAAACCCCCCAAAAAAAAAAACCAAAAAAAAAAAAAAAAAAAAAAAACCCCCCAAAAAAAAAAACCAAAAAAAAAAAAAAAAAAAAAAAACCCCCCAAAAAAAAAAACCAAAAAAAAAAAAAAAAAAAAAAAACCCCCCAAAAAAAAAAACCAAAAAAAAAAAAAAAAAAAAAAAACCCCCCAAAAAAAAAAACCAAAAAAAAAAAAAAAAAAAAAAAACCCCCCAAAAAAAAAAACCAGAAAAGCAAAAGAAACAAAAGCAUUUUAAAACAGCUGCAAAGAAACCUGUAGAAAGGAAAUGAAUGUUUGCAAAUAUAAACAGAAGUCAAAAACAUU